rnacentral:rRNA from 1 species
UACGAGGGGUGCAAGCGUUGCUCGGAAUUAUUGGGCGUAAAGGGUAGGUAGGUGGUCUCAUUUGUCGGGGGUUGAAAGCCUUGGUGCUUAACACAAGAAGUGCCCCCGCAAACGGUAGAGACUCGGAGUCUUGGAGAGGGUUGCGGAAUUCCUGGUGUAGCAGUGAAAUGCGUAGAUAUCAGGAGGAAUACCGAUGGCGAAGGCAGGUCUCUGGGCUGACACUGACGCUCAUGCACGAAAGCGUGGGGAGCAAACAGG